rnacentral:rRNA from 1 species
GAACGCUGGCGGCAUGCCUUACACAUGCAAGUCGAACGGCAGCACGGAGCAAUCCUGGUGGCGAGUGGCGAACGGGUGAGUAAUAUAUCGGAACGUGCCCGGUCGUGGGGAUAACGUAGCGAAAGUUACGCUAAUACCGCAUACGAUCUAAGGAUGAAAGCGGGGGAUCGCAAGACCUCGCGCGAUUGGAGCGGCCGAUAUCAGAUUAGGUAGUUGGUGGGGUAAAGGCUCACCAAGCCAACGAUCUGUAGCUGGUCUGAGAGGACGACCAGCCACACUGGAACUGAGACACGGUCCAGACUCCUACGGGAGGCAGCAGUGGGGAAUUUUGGACAAUGGACGCAAGUCUGAUCCAGCCAUUCCGCGUGCAGGAUGAAGGCCCUCGGGUUGUAAACUGCUUUUGUACGGAACGAAAAGGUUUCUCUUAAUACGAGGAGCUCAUGACGGUACCGUAAGAAUAAGCACCGGCUAACUACGUG